AUUGAACGCUGGCGGCAUGCCUUACACAUGCAAGUCGAACGGUAACGGGCCUUCGGGUGCCGACGAGUGGCGAACGGGUGAGUAAUGCAUCGGAACGUACCUUUCAGUGGGGGAUAACGUAGCGAAAGUUACGCUAAUACCGCAUAUUCUGUGAGCAGGAAAGCAGGGGAUCGCAAGACCUUGCGCUGAUUGAGCGGCCGAUGUCAGAUUAGCUAGUUGGUGAGGUAAAGGCUCACCAAGGCGACGAUCUGUAGCGGGUCUGAGAGGAUGAUCCGCCACACUGGAACUGAGACACGGUCCAGACUCCUACGGGAGGCAGCAGUGGGGAAUUUUGGACAAUGGGGGCAACCCUGAUCCAGCCAUGCCGCGUGAGUGAAGAAGGCCUUCGGGUUGUAAGCUCUUUCGGCCGGGAAGAAAUCGUAUGGGUUAAUACCUGUGCGGAUGACGGUACCGGCAUAAGAAGCACCGGCUAACUACGUGCCAGCAGCCGAC
rnacentral:rRNA from 1 species